AGAGUUUGAUCAUGGCUCAGGAUGAACGCUGGCUGUGUGCCUAAUACAUGCAUGUCGAGCGAAGCACUUCGGUGCUUAGCGGCAAAUGGGUGAGUAACACGUACUUAACCUACCCCCAAGAUUGGGACAACACCUGGAAACGGGUGCUAAUACCAAAUACGUAUUUUUAUCGCAUGAUAGAAAUAUAAAAGGAGCUUCGGCUUCACUAGGGGAUGGGAGUGCGCUACAUUAGUUAGUUGGUAGGGUAAUGGCCUACCAAGACGAUGAUGUAUAGCGGGGCCGAGAGGCUGAUCCGCCACACUGGGACUGAGAUACGGCCCAGACUCCUACGGGAGGCAGCAGUAGGGAAUUUUCCACAAUGAACGAAAGUUUGAUGGAGCGACACAGCGUGCAGGAUGAAGGUCUUCGGAUCGUAAACUGCUGUUAUAAGAGAAGAAAAACCCUGGUAGGUAAUGACCAGGACUUGACGGUACCUUAUCAGAAAGCGACGGCUAACUAUGUGCCAGCAGCCGCGGUAAU
rnacentral:rRNA from 1 species